UAAGGACCUCUACAUUACCAUUUCCUGCCGGUUCAGACCUGGCCCCUCCAAUCGGUGUCCCACCAGCUGAUGGACCCGAUGUAUUGUUGUUGCCUGUCCCCGAUCCUAUGGUCCCAGACAAAUCGGUGAUUUGGCUUUUACUAGCCUGGUUUCCAACAGACAUAUCGGAAUUUUUCUCUUUUUCGCCUGGGAUCGAGUCUGAAUGCUCAUAACCUUUCUCUAAUUGGACAAUAAUUUUAACGCCUAUAUUAAAUUGUAUUAGUUUAUUUAGAGUA